rnacentral:rRNA from 1 species
UAGAGUUUGAUCCUGGCUCACAAUCAACGCUGGCGGCGUGCCUAACACAUGCAAGUCUAACGAGAAAGUGGAGCAAUCCAUGAGUAAAGUGGCGACCGGGUGAGUAACACGUGACUAACCUACCCUUGAGUGGGGGAUAACCUCGGGAAACCGGGGCUAAUACCGCAUAACAUCUUCGGGAUGAAAAGCUGAAGAUCAAAGGAGCAAUCCGCUUUUGGAGGGGGUCGCGGCUGAUUAGCUAGUUGGUGGGGUAACGGCCCACCAAGGCGGUGAUCGGUAGCCGGCCUGAGAGGGCGCACGGCCACACUGGAACUGAAACACGGUCCAGACUCCUACGGGAGGCAGCAGUGGGGAAUUUUGCGCAAUGGGGGAAACCCUGACGCAGCAACGCCGCGUGGAGGAUGAAGCCCUUUGGGGUGUAAACUCCUUUCGACCAAGACGAUUAUGACGGUACUGGUGGAAGAAGCACCGGCUAACUCUGUGCCAGCAGCCGCUUGAAUACAGAGGGUGCAAGCGUUGUUCGGAAUUAUUGGGCGUAAAGGGCGCGUAUGCGGUGCGGUAAGUCACCUGUGAAAUCUCUGGGCUUAACUCAGAGCUUGCACGCGAAACUGCCGUGCUGGAGUGUGGGAGAGGUGCGUGGAAUUCCCGGUGUAUCAGUGAAAUGCGUAGAUAUCGGGAGGAACACCUGUGGAUCACGCGACGCACUGGACCUUACUGACGCUGAUGCGCGGAAAGCUAGGGCAGCUAACAUGAUCUAGAUACUCCUGGCAGUACCUAGCACUAAACUAUCGGAUGCUCGGUGUGAUCGGUACCCGAUCUGAUCGAGACCGCACGCUAUUGCGUGAGCAUCCGGCAUGGCGGAGUACCGUCUCCAAGGCUGCAAACUCAAAGGGAAUUCGACG